GACAGCAGUAGCCACGGUAAUACAGAGGGUGCAAGCGUUAAUCGGAAUUACUGGGCGUAAAGCGCGCGUAGGUGGUUCGUUAAGUUGGAUGUGAAAUCCCCGGGCUCAACCUGGGAACUGCAUCCAAAACUGGCGAGCUAGAGUAGGGCAGAGGGUGGUGGAAUUUCCUGUGUAGCGGUGAAAUGCGUAGAUAUAGGAAGGAACACCAGUGGCGAAGGCGACCACCUGGGCUCAUACUGACACUGAGGUGCGAAAGCGUGGGGAGCAAACAGGAUUAGAUACCCCCGUAGUCCCUGUCUCUUAUAC
rnacentral:rRNA from 1 species